ensembl:snRNA U6 U6 spliceosomal RNA
CUGCUUGCUUCGGCAGCAUACAUACUCAAGUUGGAAUGAUACGGAGAAGAUUAGUAAGACCCUCUGCAAGGAUGAUAUGCACAUUUGUGAAGUGUUCCAUAUUAAA